UGUGGGGAGAGGGGAGCGGGCAGGGGAAGGGGUUGUACAGGCUCUGGAGGGAGCACAUGCAGGUGGGUGAUCGCAGGCAGGGAGAAGGGGCACAGGGAUGGAGAAGUGGGAGGAAGUAGUUGCUGACAAGGAGGUGUGGGGCAGGCUGUGAGACUGGGGUGGUUGUAAUUAGGACACGUACCAUAAGUAGUACCAGCACAGGAAACUGGGGCACAAGAUGGGACCCACAUUCACAAUCUUGGGACAUGUCGGAAGAGCGGAGAGAAACAGUGGCAAACCGUUUGCUUUACAAAGGGCACGAGGAGGGAGAAUUGCCCUCCAAAACACAGCACACUGGAUGGAGGACUCAGUGUCCGUGCUGGCCAUUGCUAACGCACCAUAGGGUGAACGGUGUUGCCAGUUGAGCUGUCCACAUGGACACGAAGGGUUAAAUGUCCAGCAGCUCUAUUUGAAUCCGGAGGUUGCUUCUGUUCUGGGAAUUGAGUAAGAAGAUUGCGGAAGGAAAGACUGGGAUGCACCAGAUUAGAGGAUUGUGCGAUAGGGUUGGUGGACUCUCCAAACAUAAUCCUGGCGUCCUGAGCUUCAGCUGAGCCCACAUUGCAAAAUGAGUGGCCACGGACCCAUGCCACAGUGGGCCUCGGACUCAGACCUGUAUCCCUGGGCAAGUCUGCAGGCCUGAGAGGUUUCUGGUGCAAGUCAGAAGACACUGUGUGUAGACAGUGAGUUUGAGGAUUUAGUAAGGAGGAUGAACUAAACAGGCUGUUCAGAAGUCUCACUUGGGCAAAGCAGCAUAACUGAACUCUGCAGGAAGAGCACACCAGGAAACGAAGCAUUCUGUUCACCCUGAGACACGAGGCAUCCUGGGCCUGAUUUUCAGAGGUAGCUCCCAGGGAAGUCAACAGGCUCCGCAGGGGCUCAGCAACUUUGAAAAUCAGGCCAUCUACGGUUACUGCUUAUUUACCUAACCUAGGAGGGUCCUUUGAAGACAGUUUCUCUUUUCCACUAAAAGCCAUGUUGUUUUGCAUUGUUAAAAUGUCAGUGGUGCCAAUAAAGGGCCAAAGCCAAU